GACGAACGCUGGCGGCGUGCUUAACACAUGCAAGUCGAACGGAAAGGCCCUGCUUUUGUGGGGUGCUCGAGUGGCGAACGGGUGAGUAACACGUGAGUAACCUGCCCUUGACUUUGGGAUAACUUCAGGAAACUGGGGCUAAUACCGGAUAGGAGCUCCUGCUGCAUGGUGGGGGUUGGAAAGUUUCGGCGGUUGGGGAUGGACUCGCGGCUUAUCAGCUUGUUGGUGGGGUAGUGGCUUACCAAGGCUUUGACGGGUAGCCGGCCUGAGAGGGUGACCGGCCACAUUGGGACUGAGAUACGGCCCAGACUCCUACGGGAGGCAGCAGUGGGGAAUAUUGCACAAUGGGCGGAAGCCUGAUGCAGCAACGCCGCGUGCGGGAUCACGGCCUUCGGGUUGUAAACCGCUUUCGCCUGUGACGAAGCGUGAGUGACGGUAAUGGGUAAAGAAGCACCGGCUAACUACGU
rnacentral:rRNA from 1 species